rnacentral:rRNA from 1 species
UACCUAGGUCCCGAGCGUUGUCCGGAUUUAUUGGGCGUAAAGCGAGCGCAGGUGGUUUAUUAAGUCUGGUGUAAAAGGCAGUGGCUCAACCAUUGUAUGCAUCGGAAACUGGUAGACUUGAGUGCAGGAGAGGAGAGUGGAAUUCCAUGUGUAGCGGUGAAAUGCGUAGAUAUAUGGAGGAACACCGGUGGCGAAAGCGGCUCUCUGGCCUGUAACUGACACUGAGGCUCGAAAGCGUGGGGAGCAAACAGG